rnacentral:rRNA from 1 species
AUACGGAGGGGGCUAGCGUUGUUCGGAAUUACUGGGCGUAAAGCGCGUGUAGGCGGAUCGUUAGGUCAGGGGUGAAAGCCCGGGGCUCAACCCCGGAACUGCCCUUGAUACUGGCGAUCUAGAGUCCGGAAGAGGUGGGCGGAAUUCCCGGUGUAGAGGUGAAAUUCGUAGAUAUCGGGAGGAACACCAGUGGCGAAGGCGGCUCACUGGUCCGGCACUGACGCUGAGACGCGAAAGCGUGGGGAGCAAACAGGAUUAGAAACCCGAGUAGUCC